rnacentral:rRNA from 1 species
AUGAAUUAUGCUUAUGGAGAUGAACUUGCUAUAGUUCCUUAUGUUAAACAUGAAAUUGUUGCUAUUGCACCCACGCAUGAUAGUCCUAUUAUCUUUUUGAAUUCUCCCGAAUAUACUAUAUCGGAGAAGUUUGCCCUUAUUAGGGAUUAUAUUGAUGGGUUGCCUUUUACCAUUGCACAUGAUGAUUUUGAUGAAUAUACUAUAUCUCCACCUCUCUAUGUUUCCAAUACGUUAGAAUUGCAAGAAUCUGCUUAUACUAUGCAUUGGCCUUUACUUGGUGUGCGUGACUUGUUCUUUUAUGACAUGCUGAUGCAUAGGAAGAGAGUUAGACUUCGUCAUUGCUUGAUAUAUGUUACUUUGUGCUCACUACUAAAUUACAAAUCAUUGUUAAUUAAAAUUGGCUUUGAUAUACCUUGGGAUCCGGGUGGAUUCAUUACUUGA